rnacentral:rRNA from 1 species
GGGCGACGGUUGUCCCGGUUUAAGCGUGUAGGCUGGUUUUCCAGGCAAAUCCGGAAAAUCAAGGCUGAGGCGUGACGACGAGGCACUACGGUGCUGAAGCAACAAAUGCCCUGCUUCCAGGAAAAGCCUCUAAGCAUCAGGUAACAUCAAAUCGUACCCCAAACCGACACAGGUGGUCAGGUAGAGAAUACCAAGGCGCUUGAGAGAACUCGGGUGAAGGAACUAGGCAAAAUGGUGCCGUAACUUCGGGAGAAGGCACGCUGACAC